CCCUUAGAUGUCCUGGGCUGCACGCGCGCUACACUGAUGUGUCCAGUAAGCACCUAACCUCUUCCGAAAGGAACGGGUAACCUUUGCAAAGCACAUCGUGAUGGGGAUAGAUUAUUGCAAUUAUUAGUCUUGAACGGGGAAUUCCUAGUAAGCACAAGUCAUCAGCUUGUGUUGAUUACGUCCCUGCCCUUUGUACACACCGCCCGUCGCUCCUACCGAUUGAAUGUUCCGGUGAGCUCUUCGGACUGCGCGGUCUGCAGUUUCUGCGUUCCGUGCGGAAAGUUGCGCAAACCUUAACAUUUAGAGGAAGGAGAAGUCGUAACA
rnacentral:rRNA from 1 species